UUUGCCUUUGCUAACUCAAAAUAAUAAUAAUCCAAAUUUAUUGCUCGUUGUAAUGUAUGCAUUAAUGUUUAUAGCUGUAGGUUUUUAUAACAAAAAAUUUAUUAGUUUGGAUGAGGUAACUCAGCAGAAUGUUCACUUUUGAGUAUAACACAUGGAACUCGAUUUUGCACGAGUAUUACAUUUUAUCAUUGUUGAUUAGUGUACUUGCAGUUGUUGUAACUUUUAUUGUCUCAAGAAAAGCAAACUUCCUGGCAACUAUAAAAGACAAAAUUGAAGUAUCUCCACAAGUUGAAGAGAAAACUUCAAUGGAUGAAGCGGAAGAAGAUACAACUGAAGUACCUACUGUAAAUAUGAAACGAUCACCGGCUUUGGUUGCAGAAAAAGUAAUUCAGGCCAACAUGACUGAGGAACAAAAAUUACUUGAACAUCAAGUUCGACAGAAACAAUUAGCACAGAUUUAUGAACUCAUGUUGAAGCAAAGUGAUAAAUUUGGAAGCAUCAGCUUGUCAGAAGUAGAAGAGCAAAUGAAGCUGUACCAAUAAACACAACUAAUAUCUUUCUGGAGUGUAAAGGAGAGUGAUUGUAGAAAAAUACUUAAAGAAGAAGGUGUGUCAAAACUUAAAGAUUUUACAAACAACAAACUUGAAAUUACACUCUAUCUAGUCAUUUUUAAAUGUAUUUGAUCAACAAAAUGAGUUUAUUGCUUUUUAUGGCAUUGUUAAAUGAUGAUUCUUCUGCAAAUUUGUUUAUUUAUCAAGAAUAUUUUCCUACAAUUGUAAUUUACUAAUAUAACUUAUGAAUAAUGGAAAAAAAAUUCUGAAAGAAAGCUAUAUUGGCAUAUUUUACUAGUCAAACUUAAGAGUCAUAUAAUAUGUAUCUUACAACUUGAAAUGUUAUUUGAUAUUAUUUUGGCCUGAGCAUUUUCUUUUAAUGUGCUUUGAAGUUGUAAUGAAAAAAAAAUCGCUCCGAAUGGAUAAUAGCUUUUCCUGUUUUCUUGUCAAUUUGUUAUUUAAAUUCUUUUCUUAAAACCAAAGACUUUAUAACAUACACAACAAAAAUCUUAUGCUGCUAUAUAAAUUUAAUAAAUAUGUAUAUAAAAGUUUUUUUUCCCCUGUGCGUUAUCCCUAACAAAACUUCAUUUAUUUGUAAAAAUGAUAUAUAAUACUAACAGAAAA